ensembl:lncRNA PRSS40A serine protease 40A (pseudogene)
CGUCGGGGACGCCCAGGCCACCGGCCUGAUGAGGGAAGCAGGGGCAGAGCGCUCAGGCCAGGGCCGGCGGGGGCACUGCGCACUGGCCGCCUCCCUCCUCUGGCCAAUCCUCCUGCCGCUGCGCGUCUAGUCCACCUCGUCCCUCUCUGCAGGUCCACUAACCCAUCUGAUUACCGGAUCCUGCUUGGGUAUGACCAGCAAAGCCAUCCCACAGAGCACAGCAAGCAGAUGACAGUGAAUAAGAUCAUGGUGCACGCUGACUAUAACGAGUUGCACCGCAUGGGGAGUGACAUCACCCUGCUGCAGCUGCACCGUCAUGUGGAAUUCAGCUCCCACAUCCUCCCCGCCUGCCUUCCGGAACCAACCACGUGGCUGGCCCCUGACAGCUCCUGCUGGAUAUCUGGUUGGGGAAUGGUCACCGAGGAUGCAGGCAUGUUCCUACGUGAAGCAUGGAGUUACGCAAUGGCCUGCCUGUCCAUGAAGUUCCUCUGGCCUCCUCCGAUUCUGUGGCUGCAAAUCCACACCUAGGAGCUCCGCA